GAGCGCAGCGAGAGAACGUUGCGUCAGCAACGGCCCGCAGGGCGAGCCACGCAGUGGCGAGUCAUCCUCUAUCACCGACCA
rnacentral:sRNA from 3 species